UGGGGUGUGGCUCAGGGGUAGAGCGCUUGCCUAGCAUGCGUGAGGCACUGGGUUUGAUCCUCAGCACCACAU
rnacentral:tRNA from 1 species